rnacentral:rRNA from 1 species
CGAACGCUGGCGGCGUGCUUAACACAUGCAAGUCGAACGAAGAGCGAUGGAAGCUUGCUUCUAUCAAUCUUAGUGGCGAACGGGUGAGUAACGCGUAAUCAACCUGCCCUUCAGAGGGGGACAACAGUUGGAAACGACUGCUAAUACCGCAUACGAUCCAACCUCGGCAUCGAGGAUGGAUGAAAGGUGGCCUCUAUUUAUAAGCUAUCACUGAAGGAGGGGAUUGCGUCUGAUUAGCUAGUUGGAGGGGUAACGGCCCACCAAGGCAAUGAUCAGUAGCCGGUCUGAGAGGAUGAACGGCCACAUUGGGACUGAGACACGGCCCAGACUCCUACGGGAGGCAGCAGUGGGGAAUCUUCCGCAAUGGACGAAAGUCUGACGGAGCAACGCCGCGUGAGUGAUGACGGCCUUCGGGUUGUAAAGCUCUGUUAAUCGGGACGAAAGGUCUUCUUGCGAAUAGUUAGAGGAAUUGACGGUACCGGAAUAGAAAGCCACGGCUAA